GCUCCCACUCCUCUCCUUCCCCCAGGAGGGGGGGACUCGCCGCAGUGCGCCCCAAAGCCGAGCAGCCCCCCUGCCUGCGGGAACUUUGCCGGAGCCGGGAACUUUGCCGGGGGCUUGGGCUGCAGCCCGCUGGGAGCUGGCCCAGCCUGCCCCACGCUGUAACAAACUACUCGCAAGUGCUACUGAACAGGACGAGCUGGAGUGAGAUCUGCAGCGACUGGUACUUUAACCCACCCUCGCCUGCUUUUUGCCCCCAGCCCUGGUUUACUCUGCACUGCAUACAGGAAUUUUCAGUUUUCUGGCAGGAACAAAACCGGCAGCAGGUAGAAAGAAAUUACAGUUCCACCAGAAGUACUGAAGAUAGGAUCCAGCUGUUGAGUGUGCAACUUCAGGAAUAACCUUUUCCCCACUCCAAACUACUAGCCACAGCAACUUGCUAUUUCACAUUACCACAUGAAAAUUGCAUCCACUUCAUUGUUGAUACUUCUGUCACAGAUCAUAGAUGCAGAGAAUCUUCUCUUAAUGGCCAGGCAGUGUGGUGGUCCCUGGUUGAGUGUGCAGCUUUCAUAAAUUAUAAUGGAAGUUGAAAUAGGAAGAAUUGGGCCCAACAAGCACAGCUUCGUCAGAAGUUGAGCUGGCAUGAAGUCUUGAAACACAACUGUCAAACUGAUGGUGGAUAUCCUCUGAAGAUGCCAAGCUAAAUGUUCUUGUGGACUUUCCUCUACUAUUCCUCCCCUUUCACACACCAAGAAAGGACAAAUCUUGAAUUUAAAAAAAAAAGUGUACGAAUUUUGUGGUAUAAAAAUGUAGUGGAUAUUUUUCUUCCAUUGACUUGAUGUCUGUAUAUUUCCUGCAGUUUUAGUUAUGAAGGCUUUACUUGGCCAGCUGAUUUGUGAUUCAUUCUUGAGAGCUCUGAGUGGCAGGUACUGUAAACAUCCUACACUCUCAGCUGUGGAAAGUAAGGAAGCUGGGAGAAGGCUGUUUACUCUCUCUGCCUUGGAAAGCAGCUGGAGGGAAGAGGAUGGAGAGUAUUGCAAGUUCAAAUAUGUCUCUGCUCUGAUUGUGUUGAUUGUAAUUCUGAAAACUUGCAUUUUGUAUUUUACAUUUUGGUGUCAGUAUACAAGUAAUGGAAUUAUGUAGUGAUGUGAAAUUUUAAUGAGAAAGGAACGUGAAAGGAGGGAUGUGUUAUUAAUAUGCUUCUGUGGUGUUGCUGGUAUAUGAGAGUGCUGACUGGUAGCAAUUAAAACAGCAUGGCACUUACAA